rnacentral:misc_RNA from 1 species
AAGUCGUAACAAGGUCUCCGUUGGUGAACCAGCGGAGGGAUCAUUACCGAGUGUUUUUCCAACCUCAUAACCCUAUGUGAACCAUUAUACCACGUUGCUUCGGCGGCGCGUCCCCCCGGGGGCGUGCCCGCCGGCGAUAACCAGUCUCUCAGUCAUGAACCGACGUUACUUCUGAGUGUUCUAAGCGAACUGUUAAAACUUUCAACAACGGAUCUCUUGGCUCCA